GGAAGGGUGGCCGAGUGGUUGAUGGCACUGGUCUUGAAAACCAGCAGGUUAACGCCUCGCAGGUUCGAAUCCUGUCCCUUCCGCCA
rnacentral:tRNA from 1 species